CGCAUUGAAAGUCAUGUUUCAGUGUUUGCAGAUGACACAAAACUUUGUAAAACAAUACAAUGUGAGCAAGAUAUUACUUUGCUGCAGAGGGAUUUAGAUAGACUGGGGACUGGGCACUCAAAUGGCAGAUGAAAUUUAAUGUUGAAAAAUGCAAAGUUAUGCACUUCGGCGUAAAGAAUACACAAGCAACGUAUACCCUUAAUGAAAGCGAAUUAGGGAUAACAACACAUGAAAAGGACUUGGGAAUUGUUAUAGACAACAAACUAUGCAACAAUGUGCAAUGUCAAUCAGCAGUGGCCAAGGCCAGUAAGGUAUUGUCAUGCAUGAAAAAGGGCAUUCAUUCUCGG
rnacentral:lncRNA from 1 species